AUUUAUUACCGACGCAAACUUUGCUUUUCAGGCAGCUGCUUGGGGACUACGAGCGUGUGCUUAAAACUCAAAGAACUUGGCGGCUUGUUAACUACCUAGGGGAAUAUGUGCCUUAAUCCGAUGAUCCCCGUCGCAUCUUACUAGGCCUUGAAAAAGUGCAGCUGGUGUAUUGCCGUUGUCAGCUUGUUGUUCGAGCAAGGAGUAACAGGCUUAAUGGAGCCGUAGCGAUUAUAUCGUUGGUGUCCGUGAAUUCAGGUCGUAAUACCGCCUACGGCCUAAGGGAGUAGGUGUUACAAUUUAGAUUUAAAAAUACGGAUCUUUAUUUUGAAAUAUUAGGGUGAAGGUGAACUUAGGAGUAAGGGGGAAUUAAUAUGUUUCCCUGAACAUGAAUCUGGCUUGUGUACAAACUGCCCGUCGCUCUCGCCGAGAGGUGAGAUAAGU
rnacentral:rRNA from 1 species